GUAUUUUAUCUAGUCAUGUAAUCAAUUCUCAAUGCCAAAAUCUGUGUAUAUAGUUAAGCUUUAUUAUAUAAAAUCUUUAGUAACAAAUCUUUAAUUGGUAGUUAGAUUUGUAGUCUGUUUAGAUACUAGUUUUGAUAUAGUCAUCAUUUUUACAUGUUUGUUGUUAUUUUCAUGAAAGGGAACAAUUUCAUUUUCAAAACUGUGAUACAAUGAUAGAAAAAGACCAGAUCACUGUUUUGGGGCAAUUUCCAUUCAUAAAAAUCACCCUUUAAAUAAGAAUUUAAGAUCAUGCAAGUAGUAACUGAUAGCCCUACAACCUAGAGUCUUCCAUUUGACAAAAUUCUUGACAACGAAAAUAAUUGCCAGAAUGUAGUGUUUGUUUAAUUUUCAUGUCUACUUUUAUUGUGCAUGUAUACAUAAAGUAGUAAGAUGUGCUGCAUUUAUCUUUGCAUAAUUUAUUUUUUUACCCAUUUGGGGAUGUUUUCUGAAUACAAAUAACAUGAAUAAUGCACACUUUUUCUUAAUCUU
rnacentral:lncRNA from 1 species